UGGAGCAAAUGAUUCACUGAAGCACGUGUUUGCAUUUCCCCAUUUGUAAUCUGAAAACCCUGUCAAGCAGAGGGUGUCAACAAAUCAGUAACCUUGUUACUUCUUACGUGGAGCCAACACAACGUGCCUAGAGUUUUUGAUGAUCCAGCAAGACUUAACAAGAACAGUCCCUGCACAGUUAGGCAAGAAACUUGAAUCAAAGAAACCCUGCUGUACUUCCUUCUUCAACGCUCUGACAGAGAGGGAGAAUUUGCAAUAAACGGAUCUCACCAAGACCACCACAGAUGGCUGCCCUCUUUGUUCCAGUCCCAUUCCCAGUGGACUCGACUGGAGCGUGCAGGUCCUGGACCAAAAGGGGGUCUCCUGCAUUCUACUUCAUCCUCACCUCCAGAAAGUAUUUCCUAGAACAAAGACAGACAUGGACAUCGAGAGGUCUGGGCCAAGCUGCAUUCAUACUGCCACACUGAUUGCAUUUGUACACAAUUUUAUUUGUAUAGUACAAUGAAAACAUACAAUACAAACAAAAACAACUAAUUGAGAAUUGAACAUGAACAAAAACUGCUCCCAUGCCUAACCAUGAUAUAAAAGGCAGUGAACAUAUGUACAACAAUGAAAAAUCAACAUACAUUGUCAAAGGGGAAAAAAAUUGCAGAGGCUUACAGAAUGACUAUUUUCAAAAUGUUUUUUUGAAAAGCUGUAAUUGGCUGAUAAAAUCAAUGAUCUUUGGCCUCACUUAAGACACCUAAGCAGUGAAAUAAGACUUGGAACUUAGACACUAAUGACUCAUGGGAUUUGAGCCAAUUGACUUGGAAUAACUCCUCAUGGCCAAAAAUGAAAGAUUAUGUUGUAAAAGGU